AGAGAGUCCAAUGCAGUGGACCUGGACCUGUUAAAGCACACUCGCAGAUGCAACAUGGCGUAUGUCAGGAUAAUUUAUUGCUUUCACGUGAAAAGGAUGGUGAGCAUGACAAUAGAAAUCAAUUACUUAUUCAACAAAAUUCAUUGCCGGCACAAGACCCUGUUAGUGGUUCUAUGCCAGAGGUGAGGGAAACGAGAGAUCAUAUUUAUGAAUCUUUUGCAAGAUUAGACCAGCGGGGGACCAGAAAUAAGCGUGGAAGCUCAGUACCCUCAAAACCCUCAAAAAGACGGCAUACUUCUUCACUCAAGAUAAAUAU